UGGGGGGGCGGGGCCAACGUCACCAGCGCCACCGGCUCGAUCUCAGCCCUGAUUGGGAGUUGAAAGCAAACUCCGCCUCCCCGCCCCACACACAUACACACACACACCCUGAGCCUUUGACACUUGUCCCUCCUCCUUCGCAGGAAGCAGGUGGUGGGGGUGGGAAUGGCCGCGGAGUGGGGAAGCAGUGGGAAGCGGCAGCCGAGGUUUGGGGAGCAGCAGAAACGUUUAGCCAAGACCUCUUUUCCUUAACCGGGAAAAUUGAAUUGGAAGAUCUUGUUCCGUUCUACGUAUGAAGGGUGCAUGGAAGUUAAAGAAAGAGGGUAUCUCAGAAAUCAUUGAAUGUCUAAAAUUACAGAUGAAGAAACUUAAGGACAGAGCAGAUGAAGUGACUUAUCCAAGACAGCAGUAUUUGAAUUUGUAUGUGUUUGUAUAACUUUUUUGGCUUACAUUUAACACUGAACAUCAGAUAUCCUCUUAGACAUUAGCCCAUAAUCAAGUGUAUGGAACAUUACAUUUACACACAUCAUUCAUCUUCUCUCCUAUUUCUAAUGUGUUUAUCAUACUUCCACACUUCACUCUGUUGAUCAAAAUAGAUGUUAGGGAAGUGAAGAAACCCAGAUUGUAUCAAUACAGCAAAAUGUCACAAUAUUUUUGUUAGAAAACAGCAGUUUAAGCAGACAUAUCUCUUAUGAACUGAUAACUUAAAUUUUGUAGUGGCUAUUCCCUAAAAAAAAGAAUGAUUGGAAAUAAUUCUAUGUAGGGGUUGCUUGAUGAUCUAGCCUCAAAGAAACUAAAUUUAAUAACACUAGAUCUGGAGUUUGCAGAGAAGAGUUCAAAUGUCAGUUCUGCUAUUUACUUUGGGACUCAGUUUCCCUCAUUUGUACAAUAAGCUAAUCAAAUCAGAUGAACUUUAAGUUCCCUCCCAUCUCUAAAAUCUCAUGUGAUCAAACUGAAAUGUUUGCAAAGGGAUCUUAGAGAUAUUUAGUCUUAAUUCCCUUGUUUUACAAAAGAAGGAACCAGAAUCCUAUAGAUGUGAAAUAAAUGACUUAUGUGAGUUCAUUCAAAUAAUUGUAAAACUAGGACAUGAAACUCUGUUAACUCAACUCCUAUUGCAGAGUUUUCUACCAUAUCUCUCAUUGUCCUAUUACCAUCUUCUUCAGAUCUUGGAGGGAAAGGAAAGGAGACUAGAAAGCUAGCUCAGCUUGGCUGAUUGUUGUGAGUCUCAUGUAAAUCUAUGUUCAUGUAUCUAUUUGGAUUUUGGUCUCAACUUGUGAUUACUGAUUUGGAAAAUUUUGAGAAAUUCCUUUCACCUCCAACCUCCUCACCUCCCCUUCAUAGAUGGAUACUUCCUCUAAUUGAUAAUCUUUAAAAGACUUUCCUAGAGCAGUCAAUGGUCAAAUCCUUUGCUUGGGUAUUUACCUAGGGUCUAAUAGCUAAAAUUUGUCAGAAAGAGAAAAAAUCUUCCUACCUCCAAGACAAGCCUUUUACAAUUACUCCAUGGUGCCUUUAUAUCCAUAUGAUUAAUGAUUUUAUAGCACUGUAUCAAUAAAUUAAGAAGCAUCCCAAGUUCCUCUGUGUGACAGAUAGUAUUCUAGGCAGUGGGGAUAUAGAUGAUCCUGGCUGAAAAUUUUACAUUCUAUAGGAGUUGAGGUAGGGAAGAGAAACAAUGCAAAGGUUCUCAGUCAAUAAAUACAGGAUAUACAUAAAAUAAAUACAAACUGAUCUGGGGUAGAAGACACUAAGAACUCAGGAUUACAUAUAGUACAGAAAACCCAGCAAGAUUUUCUGACAGAUUUCAUUUGCUUUCUCAUUUAUGUCAAGGAUUAUUUUUUUUAGCAGUUUGUUUGAAAUUUUCAUUAUAGCUCAUUCUCAUUCAAAACACAUAGUCUAGAGGGUGUACUUGUGUACUUAAAAAAAC